GCAUUAAUGGGGUAGUGGUAACCUGGGUCGUUGCCAUUCCAGUUCACUUGGAGGAAUGUCGACCCGCCGGGGGUUCGAUUCCCCCUUAAUGCA